UUGAUUGAUCUUGGCUUUGCUGGAACACCCUUCACCUAUGACAAUCAGAGGAGUGGACAAAAUAAUGUUCCGGUUCAUCUUGACCGAGCGGUGGCGACAAAUGAUUGGCAUAAUAUUUUUGCAUAUGUUUCGAUGCUAGAUGUACCAUCACCUUGCUCUGAUCACGUUGUUGUGAUAGUCAAGGGCGCAACGGAUCUGGGGCCGUCUAGGGUUUCAUCUAGACGAUAUGAACUCUUUUGGGAGAGAGAUGAGGGUCUACCGGAUGUCAUUAAGCAAGCCUGGGAUUAUGUUGGGUCGGUGGGUAAUAUGGCCGAGCUGCAAGAAGCUUUGAAUAGAACCAUGACGGCACUGAAAUCAUGGAGUAGGAAAUUCAGCAACGUCACGACGGAGUUGGCCAAGUCUAGAACCUAA
rnacentral:rRNA from 1 species